GCUGGAAUGGAGUAGUGGUUAACUCGUUGCCCUCCCAAGGCAGAGACCCGGGUUCGAAUCCCGAUUUCAGCA
rnacentral:tRNA from 2 species